rnacentral:lncRNA from 13 species
AUGGAGGGAUUGUGCGUUUCUGGUGUAACUCGGGCAGUUGUUGUUGCCAUCCUGUACCUGUCCUGCAGGUGUGAUGUUCGGAUGUACCAAUCCUGUGCAGAUGUUGUUCAGCUGUCAGUCCUGUUUCCCUGUAGCGCUGUCUUAGGCGUCUCACAGUACGGACAUUGCAAAUUAUUGCCCUGGCCACAUCUGCAGUCCUCAUGCCUCAUGCCAUUUUUACGAAUUAUCUUUGAAAGACAGGGUCCUGAAAAAUGGACAUUUAUUUUUUUGCUUAUGUGCAUGGAUGGUUUUUUAACCAACCAGAUUUGGGAGAGAUGUCCUUAUGUAAAUCCUUCCAUGAAUUUUUUUUCAGAUGUCAUAAGGAAAUGUAAGAAUAAAGGAUGUCCAAUUCUUAUGUACAAUUAUGAAUUUGUGCUGAUAAAAAAAUACAUUUUUAUAAAGUCAUCUAUCUUGUUCUGUUGUUUCCUCCUAUCUAUAGUCUUCAUAAAGUCAUCUAUCUUGUUCUGUUGUUUCCUCCUAUCUAUAGUCUUCAUAAAGUCAUCUAUCUUGUUCUGUCAUUUCCUCCUAUCUAUAGUCUUCAUAAAGUCAUCUAUCUUGUUCUGUCAUUUUCUCCAGUCUUCAUAAAGUCAUCUAUCUUGUUCUGUCGUUUCCUCCUACCUAUAGUCUUCAUAAAGUCAUCUAUCUUGUUCUGUCAUUUUCUCCAGUCUAUAGUCUUCAUAAAGUCAUCUAUCUUGUUCUGUCGUUUCCUCCAGUCUGACCAAGAGGUACCUGAAGAGCUAUUGGAGUGACGGGUGAGUCAUGUCUGACAGUCACAAUUAGAGCUAGGUUGUGUUCACCUGGAACCACCCGGAAGAAAACAGACUGGAACAGGGAAGGACUACGCUUGUUUUAGUUUUCGUGAAUUUCUUUUUUGCUUCGGUGUGCCCAAAUGAACUGUCUACCAGUCAGACACAGAGCAGACCUGGGUUCAAAUAGUGUUUGAAAGUCUUGAGUGUCAGACAGACAGAGUUUAUACCUUUGGGACUAUUCCAUUGGUUCCAUUGCGCCAGACAAGCUCAAUCGAGCACAGCUAAAGUAUUUGAAAGAGUUAAUAUGUAGAGUCACAGUAGACACACACACACACACACACACACAGAGACAGAUAAGGGUGUGUACUGGUGUCUUCCUUCCUCUAGGUUGAUAUUUGAUUUCAUCGGUAAGCAGCACCUCCACAUGAUCCUAAAGGACCAGCCCUCAACGGAACCUUCCUACUGUGCUUCAGUGACUCUGAGAUAGUAGGCAUCACCAUCACAUAUGUGGCUCCCUCCGAGAGUAAGUCUGCCACACACACACAAUCAUAUAGUUAGCUUUUAUUGCAGCUACAUCAUGUUAGCUAAAUGACAGUGUCAUCUUCGGAGAAAGGAGUACUAAGGCGUCCCAAGUAGCAACCUUUUUCCUUCUUAGUGUACUAGUGUCUAUUGUAAUUGAUCAUACUCUGUUUUUCCACUCUGACUGCUUGCCUCUGGUCUUGAAUGCUGGAUGCCAGAGACACAGAACUAUAUAUUAGAACUCAUAUUCUAAUAACUGACAUUAUUUUCCCUAUUUUCCUUUACCUGGUCUGUCUCUCUCUAUCUCUCUCUCUGGUCCUCUCUCUUCCUCUUACUCCCUCCCUCUCUCUUGACGGGGGCCAGAAGAUUACAGAAUAUUCUAUCGUCUACCAAAAGAGACUUGGAGGAAGACAUUAAGAACAUCUUCCUAAUAUUGAGUUGCACCCCCUUUUUGCCCGCAGAUCCGCCUCAGUUCGUCGGGGCAUUGCUUCUACAAGGUGUCUAAAGCGUUCCACAGGGAUGCUGGCCCGUGUUGACUCCAAUGCUUCCCACAGUUGUGUCAAGUUGGCUGGAUGUCCUUUGGAUGGUGGACCAUUCUUGAUACACACGGGAAACUGUUGAGUGUGAAAAACCCAGCAGCUUUGCAGUUCUUGACACAAACCCGUGUACAUGGCACCUACUACAAUACCCCGUUCAAAAGCACUUAAAUCUUUUGUCUUGCCCAUUCACCCACUGAAUGGCACACACACACUAUCCAUGUCUCAAUUGUCUCAAGGCUUAAAAUUCCUUCUUUAACCUGUCUCCUCCCCUUCAUCUACACGGAUUGAAGUGGAUUUAACAAGUGACAUCAAUAAGGGAUCAUAGCUUCCACCUGGCCCCAGAGACACCAGAACAUCACAUUUAAGAACAUGUUGAAGAUUGUUCCACAAAUAAGCUGCAAGAAAACAAAAACUUGCUUCCUACUUCAGUGGAUGUUGAACACAUUUCUACCUGCAAAUGAACACAUUUCUACCUGAAAAUGAACACAUUUCUAGCAGUAAAUGUGUUAAAUUAUAGCCAUGGUAUAAAAGAGAUAAUCAACAGGGCUCUAUGCGUUCUCUAGAAAAUAAUGCAACUCCGUGGAAGGUCAGGUCCACCCUGCUAACACGCCAUGGGAACACACCUUCCACAUCGUUCAUUAUUUCGUCGUUCAUACACGAAACCAAAGAAAUCAACUAUGAGGAACAUUUCUGACACAGCAAAUAUACAAACCUUUAGUUUCUACACGUCAUGUAUUAAACAUGUUUUAUUUAACUAGGCCAGUCAGUUAAGAACAAAUUCUUAUUUUCCAAUGAGGGCCUACCCAUGCCAAACCCUCACCUAGCCCGGACGAUACUGGGCCAAUUGUGUGCUGCUCUAUGGGACACCCAAUCACGGCCGAUUGUGAUACAGCCCGGGAUCAAACCAGGGUCUGUAGUGACACCUCUAGCACUGAGAUGCAGUGCUUUAGACCGCUGCACCACUCGGGAGCCCUAAGUGCUGAAUUCAAAUUCAUAGAUCCAACAAUGACGUUGGGGGAUUCCCGAAAUCAAGACGUGAUAGGCAGAAAAUCCGGAAUCCUCCAACCAGGAUUUCUGGAAAGUUCCUGGAAUUUUGCAACCCUUGUUGUAAUGAGUGUUUCUACCACUGUGUAGUGCCUGUGAGUUAGUUCGGAGCUGGUAUUGAGGAGAGAAGGAGAUGGUCUAGGCUUCUAUAUGCUGUAGUGUGUGAUUCUACCACACAGUAGCAGGACUGGGGUGGGUGUAGUACUUAUUAGGAUCCCCAAUUAGCUGUUGCCAAGGCAAUGGCUACUCUUCCUGGGGUCCAAACAGGAAACAACAUAACAUGAUAUACACAGCACUAGAUUACAAUUCCAUUACAAUUCAGCCAUUCAGCAGACUCUCACAUCCAGAGCGACCCACAGCUAGUGCAUUAAUCUUAAGAUAGCCAGGCAAAACAGUAUAAGAUAGAUGGUAGCGAGCUAUGUGGCUUGGAUGGUAGAAAGAGGGGCUGUGGAGUGAUUGGUUGUGUUGGGGUCAGCAGUCUGAAGCAGAGAGGCAGGUGAUAGAAAAUAAAUUCCCCACGCUAGCAGGUUUUAACCCCAUCCCUGUAAAACAGGCUUACACCCACAAUAGAGGGCUUACCAAUGCAGGACUGGUCAGGAGGGGGGCAGAACGCACAGACCACAAUAGAGAUACAACAACCCACCACCCAACGAGUUCAUUCUGAGCCUGGCCUGCCUCUUCCUUAUUAAGGCCUACAGCCAUACAGGCAUAGCUUGAUUUUUACACAUUUGGUCGACUCAGACUUUGAGAUAAUACAGAACUCUGUGUUCUUCGGUUAUUUCAGUUGUUUGUCAACUUACUAAAAUGGUUGGUGAUAACAUCAACAUGCACAGCUCAAUUUCCUCAAUUUCUCCAUGUAAGAGUGGGCUUGGAAAUUACAUUGAAGUGUGCAGCUGACUGGUAUGAGAGAAUAGCUUAAAAUCACGCUGAUCUUUAUCAUAAAAAUGAAACAUCCCUUUCCUUUCAUUACACAUGAUCAUUUAUAACAGUCUGUGUCCUGGGGUCAGUUGUUAAUAACUGGUGUCUUGUGUGAUCUUAGGUAUGCUCCCUAUAAUUCUGCCAUCUCUCCCGCUCUCUCUACCAUCCUGGAGGACCUGGCCUCAGGACAACCUGGCCUGAUG